rnacentral:rRNA from 1 species
AGUGAACGCUGGCGGCAGGCCUAACACAUGCAAGUCGAGCGGCAGCGCGGGGGCAACCCUGGCGGCGAGCGGCGGACGGGUGAGGAAUUCGUCGGAAUCUGCCUUUUUGUGGGGGAUAACGUAGGGAAACUUACGCUAAUACCGCAUACGUCCUACGGGAGAAAGUGGGGGACCGCAAGGCCUCACGCAGAAAGAUGAGCCGACGACCGAUUAGCUAGUUGGUGGGGUAAAGGCCCACCAAGGCGACGAUCGGUAGCUGGUCUGAGAGGAUGAUCAGCCACACUGGGACUGAGACACGGCCCAGACUCCUACGGGAGGCAGCAGUGGGGAAUAUUGGACAAUGGGCGCAAGCCUGAUCUAGCCAUGCCGCGUGUGUGAAGAAGGCCUUCGGGUUGUAAAGCACUUUUGUCCGGAAAGAAAUCCCUGGAGCUAAUACCUUCGGGGGAUGACGGUACCGGAAGAAUAAGCACCGGCUAACUUCGU